GCACUGGUGGUUCAGUGGUAGAAUUCUUGCCUCCCAUGUGGGAGACCCAGGUUUGAUUCCCUGCUGAUGCA
rnacentral:tRNA from 1 species